GUUCAUCCAGCCGUUUCGGCAAAUUGGCCAUCUCUGGCGCGGCUUGAAAGUACUCCUGUACUUUGUGUAGGUCCUGCUGAAUAUGCGCCAGCUGCAAAAGUAUCGAUCCGAAAAAGGUGUGAGUCAUCCUAGUUCGCAGAGCGGCAAGCUGUUGACGAACAUCGGUGAACAACCAUACCAGACUGGCGGUAGCUAAUACGGAGGCACACGCCAAAAAGGCGUUGCAGGCCUUAAAGAAUCCGGGACAAGCGCGACCCCUCCUGCCCCUGCACUUGCGCCCAUUUCUGGUGGAAACGUUCCAGUAUUCCGAACGAUCGUCACUGCUGUCCGUCAACAAUUCCUACAAAAAAAGCAUCGCCCCGACGAUGUGUGUUCUUCGCGGGGCGAAAACCGACGCUGAAGUUAAUUAAUUAUCUUAAUCACCUGCGAGCUGCGUUUUCCGGAACUCCGGCGAGAGAUAGCGUGCGCCGGCGCCAGGGCGUC